AGAGUUUGAUCCUGGCUCAGAACGAACGCUGGCGGCAGGCUUAACACAUGCAAGUCGAACGCACCUUCGGGUGAGUGGCAGACGGGUGAGUAACGCGUGGGAACGUGCCCUUCAGUUCGGAAUAACCCAGGGAAACUUGGGCUAAUACCGGAUACGUGCGAGAGCAGAAAGAUUUAUCGCUGAAGGAUCGGCCCGCGUCUGAUUAGCUAGUUGGUGGGGUAAUGGCCCACCAAGGCGACGAUCAGUAGCUGGUCUGAGAGGAUGAUCAGCCACAUUGGGACUGAGACACGGCCCAAACUCCUACGGGAGGCAGCAGUGGGGAAUAUUGGACAAUGGGCGCAAGCCUGAUCCAGCCAUGCCGCGUGAGUGAUGAAGGCCUUAGGGUUGUAAAGCUCUUUCGGCGGGGACGAUAAUGACGGUACCCGCAGAAGAAGCCCCGGCUAACUUCGUGCCAGCAGCCGCGGUAAUACGAAGGGGGCUAGCGUUGUUCGGAAUCACUGGGCGUAAAGGGCGCGUAGGCGGCUUGAUAAGUCGGGGGUGAAAGCCUGUGGCUCAACCACAGAAUUGCCUUCGAUACUGUCUGGCUUGAGACCGGAAGAGGUAAGUGGAACUGCGAGUGCAGAGGUGAAAUUCGUAGAUAUUCGCAAGAACACCAGUGGCGAAGGCGGCUUACUGGUCCGGUUCUGACGCUGAGGCGCGAAAGCGUGGGGAGCGAACAGGAUUAGAUACCCUAGUAGUCC
rnacentral:rRNA from 1 species